rnacentral:rRNA from 1 species
AAUUCGCCCUUAGAGUUUGAUCCUGGCUGAGGAUGAACGCUAGCGGCAGGCCUAAUACAUGCAAGUCGAACGAUAGUUGGGGCUUGCCCCAACGAAAAGUGGCGCACGGGUGCGUAACGCGUAUGCAACCUACCUUAAUCAGGGGGAUAGCCCGAAGAAAUUCGGAUUAACACCGCAUAAAAUCACAGUACAGCAUUGUACAAUGAUCAAAUAUUUAUAGGAUUAAGAUGGGCAUGCGUGACAUUAGUUAGUUGGCGGGGUAACGGCCCACCAAGACUACGAUGUCUAGGGGAUCUGAGAGGAUGACCCCCCACACUGGUACUGAGACACGGACCAGACUCCUACGGGAGGCAGCAGUAAGGAAUAUUGGUCAAUGGAGGCAACUCUGAACCAGCCAUGCCGCGUGCAGGAAGACAGCCCUCUGGGUCGUAAACUGCUUUUAUUCGGGAAUAAACCUUUUUACGUGUAAGAAGCUGAAUGUACCGAAGGAAUAAGGAUCGGCUAACUCCGUGCCAGCAGCCGCGGUAAUACGGAGGAUCCAAGCGUUAUCCGGAUUUAUUGGGUUUAAAGGGUGCGUAGGCGGCUUAUUAAGUCAGGGGUGAAAGACGGUGGCUCAACCAUCGCAGUGCCUUUGAUACUGAUGAGCUUGAAUACACUAGAGGUAGGCGGAAUGUGACAAGUAGCGGUGAAAUGCAUAGAUAUGUCACAGAACACCGAUUGCGAAGGCAGCUUACUAUGGUGUCAUUGACGCUGAGGCACGAAAGCGUGGGGAUCAAACAGGAUUAGAUACCCUGGUAGUCCACGCCCUAAACGAUGAAUACUCGCUGUUAGCGAUACACAGUUAGCGGCUAAGCGAAAGCGUUAAGUAUUCCACCUGGGGAGUACGCCCGCAAGGGUGAAACUCAAAGGAAUUGACGGGGGCCCGCACAAGCGGAGGAGCAUGUGGUUUAAUUCGAUGAUACGCGAGGAACCUUACCCGGGCUUGAAAGUUAGUGAAUUAUCCAGAGAUGGAUGUGUCCGCAAGGACACGAAACUAGGUGCUGCAUGGCUGUCGUCAGCUCGUGCCGUGAGGUGUUGGGUUAAGUCCCGCAACGAGCGCAACCCCUAUGUUUAGUUGCCAGCACGUCAAGGUGGGGACUCUAAACAGACUGCCUGUGCAAACAGAGAGGAAGGAGGGGACGACGUCAAGUCAUCAUGGCCCUUACGUCCGGGGCUACACACGUGCUACAAUGGAUGGUACAGAGGGCAGCAAGCUGGCAACAGCAAGCAAAUCUCAAAAAGCCAUUCACA